AGGAGCCCUAAGCUCCUUUCCACUCUAUGCAAGUCUUUGAUUUCCAUGUUAAGUGAAUUGUCCAGAAUCACAAAGCAAACCAUUGGAUUUAUGGUUCAAAAACUAGACUUCACUCUGAGGCCAGUACUUAAAUCCCUCAGUGAUGGGGAAGCCUUCUCACAUAAGAAAGUAUCACUUGGAGAGACUUCCGGUCAAGAUGGUGGCUUAGAAGCAGCGAAAGUUCAGACCUCGGAAACCCUUCCUUACCGAUCGCAAACUGAGUGCUCCUAGGACACCGACAUUCAAGCUGAACAACAGGACAGACCCAGGGAACCCUCCUCCUGGACCUGGAUCAAAAGGCCCCCCCCAAAAGCCAGAACCCUAGAUCACUCGGAUCUAAGGGGUAGGCAGAAGGAAGGUCCCAGGACCCAUCCCCCCCAACCCAAAGUGCUGAGCCCACAGCAGCAGUGGGAACCUCAGGGCUGGAAAAAGGGCCUCAGGGCUGGCUAUUCUGAAGGACUCACCUUGAAAGCAACCUGAGCCAGUCUCCAGGGUGCCCAACACAGAUGUCAGGGAAACAUAGAGAGAAGGGGGAAGCCUGUAGCCCCCUGGCUGGGUCCUUCCAUCUGAGUCUCAAGAGAGGUUCCAGCUUUAGAGCACCAGCUGAACCCAAUCCCAUCAGGAGCCCUCAGAGCUACUGAAAGGACAGAAACCUCAGGGCCGGCAAAGGGGUUACUCCAAAGAGCUUACCUUGAAAGCAUCCUGGGCCAGUCUCUGGGCAUUCAACACAGACUGUAGAGGAGGAGUUUUGUUUUGUUUUUUUUGGUCCGGGGAGCAUUGGGCCCACAUCAGCUGAACUUAAUCCUCUCAGGAGCCCUCAGAACCCAGGGAGGCCAGGACCCCUCCCCACUUAGAGAGCAGGGUCUUUGGAAAGAACAGAAACCUCAGGGGUUGCUCCAAUGGGCAUUCCUUGAAAGCAACCUGGGCCAGUCUCUGGGCAUUCAAAACAGAUUGUGGAGGAUAUUCUGGAAAGCAAGGAACUAGGUCUACAACCAAGAAUAAAAUACCCAUCAAAACUGACUAUAUUCUUACAGGGGAAAGUAUGGUCAUUCAACACAACAGAAGAGUUCCAAGCAUUCAUAAAUAAAAGACCAGACCUGAACAGAAAAUUUGAUGUCCAACCACAGAACUCAAGAGAAUCGUCAAAAGGUACAACAGAAAAUGAGAAUGGAAGUAGAGAAGACAGUGCCAAAAGGAGCAAGACCACAUGGCAGCAUGAAAUGCCAACUGACAAGAGAGACAAAAAUUAGAGGACCAAUAACAUCAUGGAGAGAUGUCUUGGUUUGAGAAUGAAUUGGAUUUAAGUGAGGAAGAGUUGCACAAAGUCAUCAGCCUCACUUCAAGAGUCGCCCAAGUCCGGCGGCAAGGAGAAAAUCAAGAUGACUGGCACUAGCCUGGGAGGCAAUGGAUGACCUUGGCAUCUUCAAUGUCUAACCAAGCUCUAGGCAUUCCACACGACCUGCUUCAGCCACCUUCAUGACUGUUGGAACAAAUUGUUCUAAUCCACCCAUUCCUUUGGGGAAAGUUCUCACAUGCUCGCGACAGACAUCCUCCUAACUCACCAACAGGUUUGAGGACUAUUGGUUACCAUCAGCCUGGUUUAGCCUAUCAGCUAAGAUAGUUUCAACUGGGGCUGGCCAUUAUGUAUGCUAUAGCUUCUUGGAGCUACAGGCGAGACUUGGGUGAAAGGUAGACACCAAAGAUGGAAGGAGUAGCCCUGAAAAGGGCUUGGCAAGCCCUCCUACCAGAAAUGCCAGUCCUCUCUGAACACCCCAUACCCCAAGACUUUCUAACCCAAUAGGAAACAGAGCUUGGUUUCAGAACCAGGACCUCUGGCUCCAAAUACAGCAGAGGUGGUGGUGGCGGUGGCGGUGGUGGUGUUUUAAAUCCUGUGCCAUACCCUCCCUCAUAGACAUCCUUUAGCUAUGCCAAAUUGGCCAAAGACAUGCAAGGCUAAUUGAAUUUUGAUGAAUUGGCACUUGAGUAUAUAGGCUGUCCCUCGUGGACAAUAAUUCAAUAAACAUAAACUGAAUUCCUUCUGUAUGCCGGAUGCUGGGGUGAGCAUUGGAGAUAUGGAAGGCAAGUGCAAAAGCAGCUCCUUCCUUCAGGGAGUUUCCAUUCUCCUGUGGCAAUCAAACACAUCACUAUAGCCAUGUCAAUUCAGAGUGCGCAAAGUAAUACCAAGGAAUUUCGAGAAGGAGCAAAGAGGGCUAACAAAGGGCUUCACCCUAGCUAGGGACUUGAUCCUUGAUCCCACACAGGGAAUCGUGGCUGAGUGGCAAUAGCAAAAUCUCCAGAAUUUCACAGGCUCUCUGUCUGCCUUUGUUUCUAGUUUUACUGCUUGCUGGGCGCUGGUGGUCAGCAUGAGCUCAGCCAAUGCGCGUCUUGCUUGCAGUCACGGUAACCUGGUUUGAAGGGUUAGUAAGGGUGAGAGGAGGGAUGUGGCUAUACUAGAAACUCAGGCGAAGUUCAAUUUUAGUUAAAUAGGUGAAUUGGGGCGGGGGGGGGGG